rnacentral:rRNA from 1 species
CCGGAUUAAUACCGCAUACGCUCUACGGAGGAAAGGGGGGGAUCUUAGGACCUCUCGCUACAGGGGCGGCCGAUGGCAGAUUAGCUAGUUGGUGGGGUAAAGGCCUACCAAGGCGACGAUCUGUAGCUGGUCUGAGAGGACGACCAGCCACACUGGGACUGAGACACGGCCCAGACUCCUACGGGAGGCAGCAGUGGGGAAUUUUGGACAAUGGGCGAAAGCCUGAUCCAGCAAUGCCGCGUGUGUGAAGAAGGCCUUCGGGUUGUAAAGCACUUUUGUCCGGAAAGAAAACUUCUGUCCUAAUACGGCGGGAGGAUGACGGUACCGGAAGAAUAAGCACCGGCUAACUACGUGCCAGCAGCCGCGGUAAUACGUAGGGUGCAAGCGUUAAUCGGAAUUACUGGGCGUAAAGCGUGCGCAGGCGGUCCGCUAAGACAGAUGUGAAAUCCCCGGGCUUAACCUGGGAACUGCAUUUGUGACUGGCGGGCUAGAGUAUGGCAGAGGGGGGUAGAAUUCCACGUGUAGCAGUGAAAUGCGUAGAGAUGUGGAGGAAUACCGAUGGCGAAGGCAGCCCCCUGGGCCAAUACUGACGCUCAUGCACGAAAGCGUGGGGAGCA